GCUGGAGUAGCUCAGUGGGUUCGAGCGUGUGUACCUUAAUCUCAAGGUCGAAGGUUCAAACCCUUCCUCUGCG
rnacentral:tRNA from 1 species